rnacentral:rRNA from 1 species
GAUGAACGCUGGCGGCGUGCCUAAUACAUGCAAGUCGAGCGAACGGACGAGAAGCUUGCUUCUCUGAUGUUAGCGGCGGACGGGUGAGUAACACGUGGAUAACCUACCUAUAAGACUGGGAUAACUUCGGGAAACCGGAGCUAAUACCGGAUAAUAUUUUGAACCGCAUGGUUCAAAAGUGAAAGACGGUCUUGCUGUCACUUAUAGAUGGAUCCGCGCUGCAUUAGCUAGUUGGUAAGGUAACGGCUUACCAAGGCAACGAUGCAUAGCCGACCUGAGAGGGUGAUCGGCCACACUGGAACUGAGACACGGUCCAGACCCCUACGGGAGGCAGCAGUAGGGAAUCUUCCGCAAUGGGCGAAAGCCUGACGGAGCAACGCCGCGUGAGUGAGGGAGGUCUUCGGAUCGUAAAACUCUGUUAUUAGGGAAGAACAUAUGUGUAAGUAACUGUGCACAUCUUGACGGAACCUAAUCAGAAAGCCACGGCUAACUACGU